AUUGAACGCUGGCGGCAUGCCUUACACAUGCAAGUCGAACGGCAGCACGGGAGCUUGCUCCUGGUGGCGAGUGGCGAACGGGUGAGUAAUACAUCGGAACGUACCCUGAAGUGGGGGAUAACGUAGCGAAAGUUACGCUAAUACCGCAUAUUCUGUGAGCAGGAAAGAGGGGGAUCGCAAGACCUCUUGCUUUAGGAGCGGCCGAUGUCGGAUUAGCUAGUUGGUGAGGUAAAGGCUCACCAAGGCGACGAUCCGUAGCGGGUCUGAGAGGAUGAUCCGCCACACUGGGACUGAGACACGGCCC
rnacentral:rRNA from 1 species